GUACAAACCCAACUGAGUGGUGCCAGCAGGAAUAAAGUUGCUUCCUGGAAAGAAAAGCCUUGAUGUCACGGCUCUCUGGGCGAGAAUCCUGCUGCAUUACUUGGGGACUUGCAUCCAGGAUUCAGAAACAGUGCAUUUCCACCUCCUUUGCCACUGGGGAUAGGAACCUGGGGGCACCAGGAGAGACGGCCUCUCCUGGCACCAGCAGACCCCUUGAUCUGCAGAAGACUAGCCUUACCAGCACACCCCGGUGAGGACUCCGUGUCCGCCAACGGAACCCGUAAGGUCCAGGAACCAGCCCAGGGAGUGCCCAUCAGACUGGAUCCGCCAAGGCCGUCCCAGCUGGCUGGAAAUGUGGAAAGGACUAGACUUCUCCCUCUCCUUGCCAUCUGGGUGCACCUUGCAAUUUUGCUUUCGUCAAUGAAAUGUGAGGGAAAUUAACACGUAUCUUCUGAGCACAAUGGAAAAAACCAGUCUCAUACUUUCCUGAGAGUCAACAGGAAGGACAACGGGUGACAGGUGAAUAGGAAAAUCCAUCUACCAGGCUUUCCCAAUAGGCGGUCCCCAAGCUGCCUCUGCAAACGGUAGCCCAUUGUGUACCUCCAAACAGGAGUAUUUGUAAAGAGAAAGCCAGACACUGGGGAGAGGCGACUGGCAAGGUUUUCCUUGAAGAGAAUUGUCAGAACAUUGUGCUCCUUCCCUUUCCCUGAGCCGCCUCAACCCCGACAAGUCAAGUUAAAGCAGCACUCAAAGGCCAGCUUGAAGAGCUUGACAAGACACCAGGAUUCCGAUGAGACAGCAACCAGAGCUGACUCUUGCCAACGCCACCUCUGUGAGAAGCUGGCUGAAGCGGUUUGAGUUGCCGAGCAAAGAGAGAACGACAUAAUAGAAGCUGUCUGUAAUUCUAGAAUUUAGAAAGACAAAAGAAGUGGGAUUUUCGCGUGGGAAGAGUUGGUGGGAGAAAGCAGAACUAUAAUCACCUUAAAAGACCCCAAUGCCAAAGGAGGGACCUGAAGGGGUGAGGUGACUCCAGCAUUCCACCAGGGGGCGCACUGCUCCUGCAAACAACCUUUGCAGUGGGAGGUGCCUGCGGAAGUAGGAUACAGGCAAAGAAGAGACUAUGCCUCCGCAAAAAUAUGCACUUUGGAAUAAAGAUUAUUUUAAACUGAAGACAGAUGCAAAAAAAAAUUAAUAAAAGCUUUCUUUGGGGCAUCCAUUACCUUGUUAAAAGCAGGUAAUGUUUCUGGGAAACAGGGGUGCCAUUAAUUCCUCUUCAGGGCAUAUACACCCCAGAAGGGAGUACAUAAAUAAAACCUACUCCAAAUCCCUUCUCCAGGGAUUUUUAUGGCCCAGAGGAGAUGGAAAGACCACUUAUACCUGUAUAGACAAACAUUAUCACAUUUGUUUUCCCAUCACCUACUAAGUUAAGUAUAUAAACCCCAAGUUCUAACAAUCUUUUGGGGUUACUCAUCCCUGAGUUUCUCCUGGGUGUAUUGGUGCUGCCUGCAUAAAUGGUUUCCUUUUCUCCUGUAACUGUCUCUGGCUGGUUUAAUUGGCAGGGUCCUACCCACUGAAUUUAGGAGGAAGAGGAAAAUUUUUCAUCCUCUACAUAUCCCAGGGAUUAAAGGGGCAGAAUUUGGACAUCUGUCACACAAGUGCCAGGCCAGAGACACUUUGCCUUUUGUGCAAAUCCUCCUCGGCUCAGUGCCAGUGCCUGACCUUGGAGCACAACUAGUGAGUGGGUGGGAAGGAAAAACAAAGAGAGAGGAAAAUUCCUCCUCCUCCCUCCACCAUCAGUCCUGGGGUGAGACAGGGAGUUGGAAAUGUAGUUUUACAUUAGCCCAGACAGGCUUUUCUUCUUCCUGUGAAGAAAUUAUUCACGUGAAGCGAACAAUGCUGAGUGUACCCUAGAAGACUUUUUAUGUAUCUCUGCUUACAUAUAACCCCCACUCAGAUCUGCUGAGAAAAUAGCUAUUAAACUAACCUCUUUCACUUUUAGAUGGUUACCUCUUCUUGACUUUACACAAAUGGAACCAUACAAUAUAAAAUCUUUUGUAGCUGGCCUUCUUUCCCUCCAUAAUAUGUCUGUGAGCGUCAUCCAGGAUGUUGUGUGUAUCAGUGGUACUUUUUUAAAUUGUUAUAAUGUGCCUCCUGCAGCUCCAACCAUCUCACCAAGGGGACACAGGUGCAAAGCACACAGAGACACUUCAGGCCCACACCACUUUGGCUCCAGCUGCCCUACCAGAGUGGCCCCUGUGUGGUCUACCUGGGACCCCCUGGCACAUACCCACCUGGGAUUCAGCAAUUGCCAGGGUACCCCCCGUAUGAAGUGCUCCUGGGCAUCCCAGCCUGGAUGCUGCUCUGGCUCCAGCUGCCCCACUAGAGCGCCUCCUAGGGGAGUGCCCCAGGACCCUCUGGGCUAAGCUGGCCUCAAUUCCAACCACCCUGCCAGGCUGCCUGCACUGAACAUUCCAGGACACCACAACAUGCACCCACGUCAGUUUCAGCUGUCUUGUUGGGUGUCUAUGUGGAGCACCCCAGGACCCCCAGCUUGCACUUACUUUAGCUUCAGCUGUCCUUCCAGGGUACCCUACAUGCAGAGAUCCCAAGACCACCCCAGCCAGGGUCCGCUGCAGCUCCAGCCAUCCCACCAGGGAAGCCCCAGGACCACCAGCCCACACCAGCUACUGUUGCCAUCAACCAGCCCAAAUCCCCAGGCAGACACUGUCUACAUAGGGGACACCCAAUGCAAUACCACUUCUUCAGUUUAGGAGAUGUAGCCAUUCUGCCUAAUUUAUAGAAAUAAACACAGUUGAGCAAAAUGAAGAGACAGAGGAAUAUGCUCCAAACAUAUUGGAAAACAGGAAAAAACCCUCAGAAAAAGAAUUAAAUGAAAUGGA